rnacentral:rRNA from 1 species
CAUGAGUGCUUACUGCAUUUUUUUACCAUGUGUUUUUCUUUUUUUGAAAACUUUGCUUUGGUGGGCCCACGGCCUGCCNGAGAUUAAACUCNNCCNAAUUUUAUUUAAAGUCAACUGAUUAACUAAUAGUCAAAACUUUCAACAACGGAUCUCUUGGUUCUCGCAUCGAUGAAGAACGCAGCGAAAUGCGAUAAGUAAUAUGAAUUGCAGAUAUUCNUGAAUCAUCNAAUCUUUGAACGCACAUUGCGCCCUUUGGUAUUCCAAAGGGCAUGCCUGUUUGAGCGUCAUUUCUCCCUCAAACCUUCGGGUUUGGUGUUGAGCGAUACNCUGGGUUUGCUUGAAAGAAAGGCGGAGUAUAAACUANUGGAUAGGUUUUUUUCCACUCAUUGGUACAAACUCCAAAAUUCUUCCAAAUUCNACCUCAAAUCAGGUAGGACUACCCGCUGAACUUAAGCAUAUCAAUAAGCGGAGGAAAGGAUCAUUACAGAAUGAAAGUGCUUAACUGCAUUUUUUUACACAUGUGUUUUUCUUUUUUUGAAAACUUUGCUUUGGUGGGCCACGGCCUGCCAGAGAUUAAACUCAACCAAAUUUUAUUUAAAGUCAACUGAUUAACUAAUAGUCAAAACUUUCAACAACGGAUCUCUUGGUUCUCGCAUCGAUGAA